rnacentral:rRNA from 1 species
AAGGAUCAUUACCGAGUGUAGGGUUCCUAGCGAGCCCAACCUCCCACCCGUGUUUACUGUAACCUUAGUUGCUUCGGCGGGCCCGCCUUUAAGGCCGCCGGGGGGCAUCAGCCCCCGGGCCCGCGCCCGCCGGAGACACCACGAACUCUGUCUGAUCUAGUGAAGUCUGAGUUGAUUGUAUCGCAAUCAGUUAAAACUUUCAACAAUGGAUCUCUUGGUUCCGGCAUCGAUGAAGAACGCAGCGAAAUGCGAUAACUAGUGUGAAUUGCAGAAUUCCGUGAAUCAUCGAGUCUUUGAACGCACAUUGCGCCCCCUGGUAUUCCGGGGGGCAUGCCUGUCCGAGCGUCAUUGCUGCCCAUCAAGCACGGCUUGUGUGUUGGGUCGUCGUCCCCUCUUCGGGGGGGACGGGCCCCAAAGGCAGCGGCGGCACCGCGUCCGAUCCUCGAGCGUAUGGGGCUUUGUCACCCGCUCUGUAGGCCCGGCCGGCGCUUGCCGAACGCAAAACAACCAUUCUUUCCAGGUUGACCUCGGAUCAGGUAGGGAUACCCGCUGAACUUAA